rnacentral:rRNA from 1 species
UAAGGAAUAUUGGUCAAUGGACGCAAGUCUGAACCAGCCAUGCCGCGUGAAGGAUGAAGGUCCUCUGGAUUGUAAACUUCUUUUAUCUGGGACGAAAACGGGAUUUUUAUCUCAAUUGACGGUACCAGAGGAAUAAGCACCGGCUAACUCCGUGCCAGCAGCCGCGGUAAUACGGAGGAUGCAAGCGUUAUCCGGAAUUAUUGGGUUUAAGGGGUGCGUAGGCGGACUAAUAAGUCAGUGGUGAAAGCCUGCAGCUUAACUGCAGAAUUGCCAUUGNUACUGUUAGUCUUGAGUACAGUUGAGGUAGGCGGAAUGUGUCAUGUAGCGGUGAAAUGCUUAGAUAUGACACAGAACACCGAUUGCGAAGGCAGCUUGCUAAGCUGUAACUGACGCUGAGGCACGAAAGCGUGGGGAGCAAACA